ensembl:lncRNA
GGACAGAGUGGGCCCAGAUAAUAUCAAACAUCCCUUCUAGGAUCAACAUCCUUUGAUUCUCGAUUGGAAAAUGGAGGCUUAGAGAUGUUUUGUGAAUUGCCCAAGACUACAAAUGGAAAGUGACUAAUCUGGACAGUGACUUAAACCUAAAGAAUAUCGUCUCACCCACUAUUCUGUACUGGCUCCCAAGUGGAAGAUUCUCUCUCUCUAAGAAAUUUGGAGUCAGACCUAACUUUGAGUCCUGCCUUCCUUGCUUCCUGGCUCUGUGACCUUCAGCAAGUUUCCCUACCUCAUAAGGCUGUGAGGAUGACGUGAGAUAAUGAAUGCAAAGAGCUUAAGUGCUUGGCUCACAGUAUUAAAUGAAUAUCAGGUGGUUUUCUUCAGAAAUGUAUCAAAAAUGUAUCAAGUGCUCUGUCCAUACCAGACCCUCGCUAAUUCUGGGGACUCAGAGGUAAAUACUGCACAACCCACGUCCUGAAGACCAGGAGGCUGGUAGAUCUGGGGCUUGUGGGCUGAAACUGGCCUUCAGAAGUGUUCUGUUUGUCCACACAUGCUUUAAAACUUGUGAGUUAGUUGCAGACAUUUAAAAAUUGGGAGAUUUUAAUAAAAAUCUGGAUUUCCAGCUUCUUUUGAAAACCAGGAGAGCUGGCAAUAUUGGGCCUACGUUCUCACACGACAGCAAGCAUCUAGACUGCAGUUUGCCAAUGUGGGAAUCUGGGCUAUGGUCCCCACCACUCCCUGUUGCAUCUGAGGGGGUCAGUGGCCAUUCAUCGUUGCUGUUGCACUGUUUUCCUUAUGAUAGAGAGAAGUGAAAUGGUUCAUAUAUGUAUGGUGCUCUCGGAAGAAAAGAAAAGAUAGAUCAAGGGAACUGAGUGAUUGAAGAAGAAUGAACAAAGUGUUUGUUUUUGUUUAAAAGCCAGGAUUAUUAUCUGAGAACUUUUUCUUUCAAUUGAGGGUUUCCAUCCAGGAAGGGAACUAACAGGCCUAGCUGCGACUGAUGGAAAGGCCAACUGAAAGUGAAGGACUUGAGCCUAUCCUCAUUCACAGGUGGGAGCCUAUUUCUACCAGGGGUCUGAGAGACCUGGCAGAGGCUGGGUGAAAGAUGACGAUGGAACAGACUUCCCUUGUGGAGUUCAAGGUCAAGUUCAACCUCCAGUCAAGAACUCUGCUCUAAACCAUAUUAAGAUGCCACUCCAUACCACUAAGAUGGCUGUAAUAAAAAAGACAAUAACAAAUACUGGUGAAGAUGUAGAAAAAUUGGAACACUCAAACAUUGUCAGUGGAAAUGUAAAAUGGUGCAGUCACUUUGGAAAAUAGUUUGGCAGUUCCUCUAAAUAUUAAACAUAGAGUUUCCAUAUGACCCAGAAAUUCCACUCCUAGGUAUAUACCCAAGAGAAAUGAAAACAUACGUUCACACAGAAGCUUGUAUACAAUGUUCAUAGCAGCAUCAUUCAUAGUAGGCAAAAUGUAGAAGCAACCCAAAUGUCCAUCAAGUGAUAAAUAGAUAAACAAAAUGUGGUACAUCCAUACAGUAGAAUAUUAUUUGGCAGUAAGAAGAAAUGAAGCACCAAUAUAUGUAUCAAGAUGUAUGAACCUUGAAAUAUGCUAAGUGAAAGAAGCCAGUCACAAAAGACCAGAUAUUAUAUGAUUCCAUUUAUGUGAAGUGUCCAGAAUAGGCAUAUCUAUACAGAAUGUAGAUUAGUGGUUGCCUGGGGCUAGGGCUAGGAUGAGAGGAGAGAAAGGGGGACUGGGAAAGCGAGGCAACUGCUAAUUGGUAUGGAUUUCUUUCUGGAGUGUUGAAAAAGUUCUAAAAUUAGUUGGUGGUGAUGGUUGUACAACUCUGUGAAUGUAAUCAAAGCCACCGAGUUGUACACUUUGAAAGGGUGAAUUUUAUGGUAUGUGAAUUAUAUCUCAAUAAAGCUGUUAUUAAAAAAA